rnacentral:misc_RNA from 1 species
GUGCCCUCGGCCUAAUGGCUUCGGGCGCAACUUGCGUUCAAAGACUCGAUGGUUCACGGGAUUCUGCAAUUCACACCAAGUAUCGCAUUUCGCUGCGUUCUUCAUCGAUGCUGUACACCUGAAC